UUGGGUCAAUGUAUGCCGCUCCCCUGCAUUCUCAUAUCCGCGCGCUCGCUCUCACUCCUUGCUGCUGGUAGACAAUGGAGGCGUUCAGUGCGCAUACUCGGAUUAACAAUGUAACGCGUGUGAAUAGGGAAUAUACAAAAUCCAAUGAAGGCUCAUGUCUGGCUCGCCCCAGGCUACCAAGUCAGACGAACGCAGUGUGAGCAGAGGACAGAGAUUGAUAUGAGCUAGUAACGCUGUCAUAACCAAGUUAACAUGCAGAUGGCACAGCAUUCAUAUUUUUUAUGCUGAAUUAUUGAGAUUGUUGACAAAUGACAAUUAGCAGCCUAAAGGUAUUUCCCCCAAAUAGGCCUAUUGGUUAUUGGCAUGAAUUUAUCACGCAAUUAUCAUACAACUGUUUAUUAUUGGUUCUUAAACUAUACAUUUAAAAAACAAUAAACACUAUUAACCAUUGACAAA